rnacentral:rRNA from 1 species
GAUGAACGCUAGCGGUAGGCCUAAUACAUGCAAGUCGAACGGUGUCUUCGGACAUAGUGGCGCACGGGUGCGUAACACGUAUGCAACCUACCUUACAUUGGGGGAUAGCCUUUCGAAAGGGAGAUUAAUACCGCAUAAGACAGUAGCUGGGCAUCCAGCAGCUGUUAAAGAUUUAUCGAUGUAAGAUGGGCAUGCGUCCAAUUAGUUAGUUGGCGAGGUAACGGCUCACCAAGACUUUGAUUGGUAGGGGAACUGAGAGGUCAAUCCCCCACACUGGCACUGAGAGACGGGCCAGACUCCUACGGGAGGCAGCAGUAGGGAAUAUUGGGCAAUGGACGCAAGUCUGACCCAGCCAUGCCGCGUGCAGGAUGAAGGCGUUAUGCGUUGUAAACUGCUUUUAUACAGGAAGAAACGACUCUUGCGAGAGGCAUUGACGGUACUGUAUGAAUAAGCACCGGCUAACUCCGUGCCAGCCGCCGCGGUAACAC